rnacentral:rRNA from 1 species
GACGAACGCUGGCGGCGUGCUUAACACAUGCAAGUCGAACGGGCUUCUGGGGUUCUGGCUUUUUUGGUUGGGGUUCUGGGGGUUAGUGGCGAACGGGUGAGUAACACGUGAGUAACCUGCCCUUCACUUCUGGAUAACCGCUUGCAAGGGUGGCUAAUACGGGAUGUUUCUGGGUCUGUCGCAUGGCGGGUUCGGGGAAGAUGGCACUGUCUGGUGUUUUUGGUGGGGGAUGGGCUCGCGGCCUAUCAGCUUGUUGGUGGUGUGGUGGCCUGCCAAGGCUUUGACGGGUAGCCGGGCUGUGAGGGUGGGCGGGCACGAGGGGGCUGAGGUACGGACCAGGCUCCAGCGGGAGGCAGCAGUGGGGAAUGUGGCACAAGGGGCGGAAGCCUGAUGCAGCGACGUCGCGUGAGGGAUGGAGGCCUUCGGGUUGUGAACCUCUUUCGCCAGGGAGGAAGGCCUUGCCCGUGUGGUGGGGUUGACGGUGGCUGGGGUAAUUGAAGCGCCGGCUAACUACGUG